rnacentral:scRNA from 1 species
UAACAGUAGUAGGUUCAACAGGAGGUGCAGUA